GCCUGAGUGGUUCAGUUGGUUGGGUGUCCGACUUCAGCUCAGGUUAUGAACUCACAGUUUGUGGGUUCGAGCCCCAUGUCAGGCU
rnacentral:tRNA from 1 species